rnacentral:rRNA from 1 species
UGGGUCUCUGCGCCUAGAGAAGGGCUUUCCCCUUCGGGGGACAGAGUGACAGGUGGUGCAUGGUUGUCGUCAGCUCGUGUCGUGAGAUGUUGGGUUAAGUCCCGCAACGAGCGCAACCCUUGAUCUUAGUUGCCAGCAUUCAGUUGGGCACUCUAAGGUGACUGCCGGUGACAAACCGGAGGAAGGUGGGGAUGACGUCAAAUCAUCAUGCCCCUUAUGACCUGGGCUACACACGUGCUACAAUGGAUGGUACAAAGGGCUGCAAACCUGCGAAGGUAAGCGAAUCCCAUAAAGCCAUUCUCAGUUCGGAUUGCAGGCUGCAACUCGCCUGCAUGAAGCCGGAAUCGCUAGUAAUCGCGGAUCAGCAUGCCGCGGUGAAUACGUUCCCGGGUCUAUAACACACCG